rnacentral:rRNA from 1 species
UACGAGUGCUCCAAGCGUUGUCCGGAAUUAUUGGGCGUAAAGCGCGCGCAGGCGGCUUCUUAAGUCUGAUGUGAAAGCCCACGGCUCAACCGUGGAGGGUCAUUGGAAACUGGGAAGCUUGAGUGUGGGAGAGGAAUGCGGAAUUCCAGGUGUAGCGGUGAAAUGCGUAGAUAUCUGGAGGAACACCGGUGGCGAAGGCGGCAUUCUGGACCAUAACUGACACUGAGAGACGAAAGCCAGGGGAGCAAACGGG